rnacentral:RNase_P_RNA from 1 species
UCAGAAGGAAGCUCACCACUGAGAUCACUUGCUGAGUGCUGGUCACUCCCUUCUCUCUGCCUCUGGGAAGGUCUGAGACAAGAGCCAGCAGCUGCCCUUGCAAGGCACACCCUGAUGCAGGGGGAUGAGGUACCAGGGAAGCUGGGCCCUACCUUGGGAGAGGCACAAGAAACCAAAGAACAAGGGUUUUGUUCCUUCUCUGUCCAUUCCCUGUGGAGUCUUUGAGAGAGGCUUGUGGCUGGCACUUCUGAGUCCAAUGGCAUGAGAUGAGGCCUGUGUCUCCUCCUGCUCACAACCCAGUUCAGACUAUUCUUUUUCUGA